CGAUCUUAGUGGCGGACGGGUGAGUAACGCGUGGGUAACCUGCCUUAUACAGGGGAGUAACACUUAGAAAUAGGUGCUAAUACCGCAUAAGCGCACGGGGCUGCAUGGCCCAGUGUGAAAAACUACCGGUGGUAUAAGACGGACCCGCGUCUGAUUAGCUUGUUGGCGGGGUAACGGCCCACCAAGGCGACGAUCAGUAGCCGGCCUGAGAGGGUGGACGGCCACAUUGGGACUGAGACACGGCCCAAACUCCUACGGGAGGCAGCAG
rnacentral:rRNA from 1 species